rnacentral:rRNA from 1 species
CCUACGGGGGGCAGCAGUGGGGAAUAUUGCACAAUGGGGGAAACCCUGAUGCAGCGACGCCGCGUGAGUGAAGAAGUAAUUCGUUAUGUAAAGCUCUAUCAGCAGGGAAGAAAAUGACGGUACCUGAGUAAGAAGCCCCGGCUAACUACGUGCCAGCAGCCGCGGUAAUACGUAGGGGGCAAGCGUUAUCCGGAUUUACUGGGUGGAAAGGGAGCGUAGACGGCAGUGCAAGUCUGGAGUGAAAGGCGGGGGCUCAACCCCCGGACUGCUCUGGAAACUGUACGGCUGGAGUGCAGGAGAGGUGAGUAGAAUUCCUAGUGUAGCGGUGAAAUGCGUAGAUAUUAGGAGGAACACCAGUGGCGAAGGCGGCUUACUGGACUGUAACUGACGUUGAGGCUCGAAAGCGUGGGGAGCAAACAGGAUUAGAUACCCGUGUAGUC